AACGAACGCUGGCGGCAGGCCUAACACAUGCAAGUCGAGCGAGGACUUCGGUCCUAGCGGCGGACGGGUGAGUAACGCGUGGGAACGUGCCCUUUGCUACGGAAUAGCCCCGGAAAACUGGGAGUAAUACCGUAUGUGCCCUUCGGGGGAAAGAUUCAUCGGCAAAGGAUCGGCCCGCGUUGGAUUAGGUAGUUGGUGGGGUAAUGGCCUACCAAGCCGACGAUCCAUAGCUGGUUUGAGAGGAUGAUCAGCCACACUGGGACUGAGACACGGCCCAGACUCCUACGGGAGGCAGCAGUGGGGAAUCUUAGACAAUGGGGGAAACCCUGAUCUAGCCAUGCCGCGUGAGCGAUGAAGGCCUUAGGGUUGUAAAGCUCUUUCAGUGGGGAAGAUAAUGACGGUACCCACAGAAGAAGCCCCGGCUAACUCCGUGCCAGCAGCCGCCGUAAUAC
rnacentral:rRNA from 1 species